rnacentral:rRNA from 1 species
UUUCGAACGAGAAGAGAUGAGAAGCUUGCUUCUUAUCGAUUCGAGUGGCAAACGGGUGAGUAACGCGUAAGCAACCUGCCCUCUAGAUGGGGACAACAGCUGGAAACGGCUGCUAAUACCGAAUACGUUCUUUCUGUCACAUGGCAGAGGGAAGAAAGGGAGGCUCUUCGGAGCUUUCGCUGGAGGAGGGGCUUGCGUCUGAUUAGCUAGUUGGAGGGGUAACGGCCCACCAAGGCGACGAUCAGUAGCCGGUCUGAGAGGAUGAACGGCCACAUUGGGACUGAGACACGGCCCAGACUCCUACGGGAGGCAGCAGUGGGGAAUCUUCCGCAAUGGACGAAAGUCUGACGGAGCAACGCCGCGUGAACGAUGACGGCCUUCGGGUUGUAAAGUUCUGUUAUACGGGACGAAUGGUGCGACGGCCAAUACCCGUCGUAAGUGACGGUACCGUAAGAGAAAGCCACG